rnacentral:rRNA from 1 species
GACGAACGCUGGCGGCGUGCUUAACACAUGCAAGUCGAACGGAGAGGCCCUGCUUUUGUGGGGUGCUCGAGUGGCGAACGGGUGAGUAACACGUGAGUAACCUGCCCUUGACUUUGGGAUAACUUCAGGAAACUGGGGCUAAUACCGGAUAGGAGCUCCUGCUGCAUGGGGGGGGUUGGAAAGUUUCGGCGGUUGGGGAUGGACUCGCGGCUUAUCAGCUUGUUGGUGGGGUAGUGGCUUACCAAGGCUUUGACGGGUAGCCGGCCUGAGAGGGUGACCGGCCACAUUGGGACUGCGGUACGGCCCAGACUCCUACGGGAGGCAGAAGUGGGGAAUAUUGCACAAUGGGCGGAAGCCUGAUGCAGCAACGCCGCGUGCGGGAUGACGGCCUUCGGGUUGUAAACCGCUUUCGCCUGUGACGAAGCGUGAGUGACGGUAAUGGGUAAAGAAGCACCGGCUAACUACGUG